rnacentral:rRNA from 1 species
AGGUCUUGACAUCCUGCGCUACACCUAGAGAUAGGUGGUUCCCUUCGGGGACGCAGAGACAGGUGGUGCAUGGCU